GAACGCUGGCGGCGUGCCUAACACAUGCAAGUCGAGCGGUAACAGGUGUAGCAAUACAUGCUGACGAGCGGCGAACGGGUGAGUAAUGCUUCGGAAUCUGCCCAAUGGUGGGGAAUAACCAGCCGAAAGGUUGGCUAAUACCGCAUAAGUCCUACGGGGGAAAGCAGGGGAUCGCAAGACCUUGCGCCGAUGGAUGAGCCGAAGUCGGAUUAGCUAGUUGGUAGGGUAACGGCCUACCAAGGCGACGAUCCGUAGCUGGUCUGAGAGGACGACCAGCCACACUGGGACUGAGACACGGCCCAGACUCCUACGGGAGGCAGCAGUGGGGAAUAUUGGACAAUGGGGGAAACCCUGAUCCAGCGACGCCGCGUGUGUGAAGAAGGCCUGCGGGUUGUAAAGCACUUUUAGUGGGGAUGAAAAGCUCAGGGCUAACACCUCUGGGUCUUGACCUAACCCAAAGAAAAAGCACCGGCUAACUCUGUGCCAGCAGCCGCGGUAAUACAGAGGGUGCGAGCGUUAAUCGGAAUUACUGGGCGUAAAGCGUGCGUAGACGGUUAUGUAAGUCGGGUGUGAAAGCCCCGGGCU
rnacentral:rRNA from 1 species